GGAAGAGUAGCCAAGCUGGUUGAAGGCGCCGCUCUCGAAAAGCGGUAUAGGGGAAACCCUAUCGUGAGUUCGAAUCUCACCUCUUCCGCUA
rnacentral:tRNA from 1 species